CAGUAGCCAGGUAAUACGAAGGGUGCAAGCGUUACUCGGAAUUACUGGGCGUAAAGCGUGCGUAGGUGGUGGUUUAAGUCCGUUGUGAAAGCCCUGGGCUCAACCUGGGAAUUGCAGUGGAUACUGGAUCACUAGAGUGUGGUAGAGGAUAGUGGAAUUUCCGGUGUAGCAGUGAAAUGCGUAGAGAUCGGAAGGAACAUCUGUGGCGAAGGCGACUAUCUGGGCCAACACUGACACUGAGGCACGAAAGCGUGGGGAGCAAACAGGAUUAGAUACCCGAGUAGUCCCUGUCUCUAUACAC
rnacentral:rRNA from 1 species